UGCAAAAAUACUCAAUAAAAUUUUCUUGCCUCUUUCCUUUCUGCCACCGCCAUGCCAUCCAGACUGGAGAAGAGCCAGAACCUUGGGGGCCACAUGAGCCACGGACAGCGAGAAUGCUGGAGGCAUGCAUAAUCACAGGGUCAACUUUGACAAAUAUCACCCAGGUUACUUUAGGAAGGUUGGUAUGCGGCAUUACCACUUGCAGAGGAACCAGAGCUUCUGCCCAACUGUCAGCCUGGAUAAAUUGUGGACGUUGGUCAGCGAGCAGACGCGGGUCAAUGCAGCAAAAACCAAGCCUGGAGCUGCUCCCAUCAUUGAUGUUGUUCAAUCAGGCUACUACAAAGUUCUGGGCAAGGGAAAGCUCCCUAAGCAACCUGUUAUCAUGAGGGCCAAAUUCUUCAGCAGGAGAGCUGAAGAGAAGAUUAAGGGUGUUGGAGGUGCCUGUGUUCUGGUGGCUUAAAAGCCACCACGGAGGUUAAUUAAAUGCUAACAUUUUCCAUGAAAAAAAAAAAA